CGGACCUGGCCUGUCCACGGCGGCCGCAGGCGGCCUCGACAUCCCCGCGGAGGCGCAGCGGCCUUCCAGCUCCGUGCAGGUUGGAGAAGCCAUUCAAGCCAGAUGACCUGAGCCUGGUAUUUUCCUUGACUACCACCCUACAAUUCUUAAAGUAACAGGUGCCCGUCACUAGCAGGGUCUGGUUUUAUUCCAUAACAUGGGUGUGGGGGUGGGGUGUGUGUGUGUCCCCAGAUAGUGGAAAGCCAUGGGCUGAGGCUGGUGGGGACCCAGGAAUGUGACAUGCACUUUUAUGUGCAUUUUCCACAGUUACAUCUUGGAUAUUUACUGUAGGGAGGCUUCAAUAAGUUUGAGAGAGAACUGGAAUUAACUGGUUCCCUGAAUUUUUACAGCACCCCUUCCUUUUCUCCAUUUUACACACAUAGAAACAGGUAGAGUUGGCAAUUUGCCUAAUGCGCCUUCUCAUGAAGUUGCCCUUGGUGGGAGCUCACAGAUGUAACUUGGCCCUGUGAGACCUCAGACAAUCCCUUAAUGCCUGAGACUUGGUGUCCUGGUUUUGUUUGUUUUUCUUCCUUUGAAAAAACAAGGGAUAAACAUAGGCUGGGCUGCUUAGAAGGAAGAGAUGAAGUUAGGAACAUAACCACCUAGUUUCUGAUCACACUGGACCUAGGCAAGUUUUGUACAUUUAAGGACAAAGGCCCCAAAAACUCCACAUGGAGUUGCGUGUAUGCAGUCUGUUGCUGCUGUUGAGUCGGUACCAACCUAUAGCAGAUAGGAUCUGUAGGACCGGAGUGUUUUCAGAGGAGCUUCCAAGUUAUGGUCUUUAAAAAGCAGGCAGUCCCACAGUCUCCCAUGGAGCCAGUGUGGCUAGAACUGCCCCUGUGGGUUACUAAAGCUACAAAUCUUUACAGUGGCGAGCCUCCUGUUUCUCCAGCUGUUGGCUGUGGGGUUAACAGCCUACUGUGUGACCCACUGUGCCACCCAGGCUCCUUGUAUGUGGACUAGUAAGGUGAAAGUACUGCAGGUCGUGGAGAGUUUUCUGGAAACUAAAUUAGCAUCCUGGCAAUACGGGCUAGAGCAAUUUUAUUCCUGCAGGCCAACUGGUUGUUUGUUGACUGGAUUGUAAUGCCUCAUUUUCCCAGAACUUUGAAAUAAAGGUAUUUCAUAAUACA